AUUGAACGCUGGCGGCAUGCCUUACACAUGCAAGUCGAACGGCAGCAUGGAGAGCUUGCUCUCUGAUGGCGAGUGGCGAACGGGUGAGUAAAGCAUCGGAACGUACCGUGUAAUGGGGGAUAACGUAGCGAAAGUUACGCUAAUACCGCAUACGACCUGAGGGUGAAAGAAGGGGAUCGCAAGACCUUGCGUUAUACGAGCGGCCGCCGUCAGAUUAGCUAGUUGGUAGGGUAAAGGCCUACCAAGGCGACGAUCUGUAGCGGGUCUGAGAGGACGAUCCGCCACACUGGGACUGAGACACGGCCCAGACUCCUACGGGAGGCAGCAGUGGGGAAUUUUGGACAAUGGGGGCAACCCUGAUCCAGCCAUGCCGCGUGAGUGAAGAAGGCCUUCGGGUUGUAAAGCUCUUUCGGCCGGGAAGAAAUCGCACAGGCUAAUACUCUGUGUGGAUGACGGUACCGGCAUAAGAAGCACCGGCUAACUACGUGCCAGCCGCCGCCGUAA
rnacentral:rRNA from 1 species